AUCCGCCCAGGCAUGUGCACACACACAUGCAUAUGUGCACGCACCGUGCAGGCCCGCUGUCUGGCCCACAAGCGCAGCCCUCCUCCCCAGGACACCUGGCAUGUUACAUGCCUCCACCAUCUGGCAUCUCCGGUCCACCCCUCCCCGGAGGAAACAAUGGGGCCACUGUGACCCACACAGAAUUCUGGUAGCCUCUGAGGUCACCACAGAGAUAACCUCACCAACCCCUGCACCAAGAGCACAAGUCUGUGGAGGCCAGCCGUGGGUGACCGUCCUUGAUCCUCUUUCUGGCCACACAGGUAAAGGUGAGGGCCGGAGCUCAAGAGGAAGCCUCAGCGAGGACCAGGAACCGGGACACACCUCAGCCAUCCUGUGAGGGGCAGCCCAGUGGAGACUUCCAGCCGCCCUGGAGGUCCUUGCACCCAAGACACUUCACCUACCCCAGGGAGAGAAGCAGAAAGGCACUUCGCCACUGUCUCCAUCAGUGCUGUUGAACUCAAAUACUGCCAUGGGUGGAGGCCAGCAGGGCAGCGUGUCCCUAGCAAGACAGCGACUGGGCAACGCACCUGUGCCAAACCCUGCCAGAAGCCCAGCACGUCCAAGGUGAUCCUGAGGGCUGUGGCGGACAAGGGGACCUGCAAGUAUGUGUCCCUGGCCACCCUGAAGAAGGCUGUUUCCACCACGGGCUACGACAUGGCCCGAAAUGCCUAUCACUUCAAGCGUGUGCUCAAGGGGCUGGUGGACAAGGGCUCAGCAGGUGACCGGCAGGGGGGCCUCAGGCUCCUUCACCCUGGGCAAGAAGCAGGCCUCCAAGUCCAAGCUCAAGGUCAAGAGGCAACGACAGCAGAGGUGGCGCUCUGGGCAGCGCCCCUUUGGACAGCACAGGUCACUACUGGGCUCCAAACAGGGGCACAAGCGGCUUAUCAAGGGGGUUCGAAGGGUGGCCAAGUGCCACUGCAAUUAAUGAGGCAGGCCAGGCAAGCAGUCAGGGGUGCCAAGACCGCCAUUGGCUCAGUGCAGUGGGAAUAAAAGGAACAUAACUUAUUUCA